AUUGAACGCUGGCGGCAGGCCUAACACAUGCAAGUCGAGCGAGCGGCGGACGGGUGAGUAAUGUCUGGGAAACUGCCUGAUGGAGGGGGAUAACUACUGGAAACGGUAGCUAAUACCGCAUACCAUCAGAUGUGCCCAGAUGGGAUUAGCUAGUAGGUGGGGUAACGGCUCACCUAGGCGACGAUCCCUAGCUGGUCUGAGAGGAUGACCAGCAACACUGGAACUGAUACAAGGUCCAGACGCCGACGGGCGGCAGCAGUGGGGAAGAUGGAGCAAUGGGCGAAAGCCGGAUGCAGCCAUGCCGCGUGGGUGACGAAGGCCUUCGGGUUGUAAAGCACUUUCAGCGGGGAGGCGUGACCCGCAGAAGAAGCACCGGCUAACUCCGUGCCAGCAGCCGCGGUAAUUC
rnacentral:rRNA from 1 species